GCCCGAGUGGUGAAAUUGGCAGACACGCUUAGACUAAGGAUUCUAGUGAGGCAACUCAUGCAGGUUCAAGUCCUGUCUCGGGCACCA
rnacentral:tRNA from 1 species